CCUACGGGUGGCAGCAGUGAGGAAUAUUGGUCAAUGGACGAGAGUCUGAACCAGCCAAGUAGCGUGAAGGAAGACUGCCCUAUGGGUUGUAAACUUCUUUUAUAUGGGAAUAAAACAGGGUAUGCAUACCCUCUUGUAUGUACCAUAUGAAUAAGGAUCGGCUAACUCCGUGCCAGCAGCCGCGGUAAGACGGAGGAGCCCAGCGUUGUCCGGAUUUAUUGGGUUUAAAGGGAGCGUAGGAGUUUUGUUAAGUCAGUUGUGAAAGUUUGCGGCUCAACCGUAAAAUUGCAGUUGAUACUGGCAGUCUUGAGUACAGUAGAGGUUGGCGGAAUUCUUGGUGUAGCGGUGAAAUGCUUAGAUAUCACGCAGAACUCCGAUUGCGAAGGCAGCUCACUGGACUGCAACUGACACUGAGGCUCGACAGUGUGGGUAUCAAACAGGAUUAGCUACCCGGGUAGUC
rnacentral:rRNA from 1 species